rnacentral:rRNA from 1 species
GCGGCGUGCCUAAUACAUGCAAGUCGAGCGACUUGUCCUUUUUGGACUUGGAGCGGCGGACGGGUGAGUAACACGUGGAUAACCUAUCCAAUAGACGGGGAUUACCUCUGGAAACGGAGGUUAAUACCGGAUACGCCUCCUUGAUCGCAUGGUCGAGGUGGGAAAGGUUCCUUCGGGAGCCGCUUUUGGAGGGAUCCGCGGCGCAUUAGCUAGUUGGUUGGGGUAAUGGCCCACCAAGGCGACGAUGCGUAGCCGGCUUGGGAGAGCGGACGGCCACACUGGGACUGAGACACGGCCCAGACUCCUACGGGAGGCAGCAGUAGGGAAUUUUCCGCAAUGGGCGCAAGCCUGACGGAGCGACGCCGCGUGGGUGAAGACGGCCUUCGGGUUGUAAAGCCCUGUUCAUCGGGAAGAAGAAAUGACGGUACCGGUGAAGAAAGCCCCGGCUAACUACGUGCCAGCAGCCGCGGUAAUACGUAGGGGGCGAGCGUUGUCCGGGAUAAUUGGGCGUAAAGGGCGUGUAGGCGGAUACAUAAGUCGGACGUGAAAGGCGCGGGCUCAACCCGUGUAAGCGUUCGAAACGGUGCAUCUUGAGUGCGGUA